CUGACACUGUUUCUUGAUAAGCACAGGGGAAUUAGCUCAAAUGGUAGAGCGCUCGCUUUGCAUGCGAGAGGCAGCGGGAUCGACGCCCGCAUUCUCCAUUUGGCUUUCUGGGUGUUAAUGAUAUUUUUACAGACACUGUUUCUUCAUAAGCACAGGGGAAUUAGCUCAAAUGGUAGAGCGCUUGCUUAGCAUGCGAGAGGCAGCGGGAUCGACGCCCGCAUUCUCCAUUUGGCUUUCUGGGUGUUAAUGAUAUUAAAUGAUAUUUUUACAGACACUGUUUCUUCAUAAGCACAGGGGAAUUAGCUCAAAUGGUAGAGCGCUUGCUUUGCAUGCGAGAGGUAGUGGGAUCGAUGCCCGCAUUCUCCAUUUGGCUUUUUCUUCACGGCUUUCGUGUGGUUGAUGAUAUUUACUUUUUUUGCCACUGUCACUGUUUCUUGCUGAGCACAGGGGAAUUAGCUCAAAUGGUAGAGCGCUUGCUUCGCAUGCGAGAGGCAGCGGGAUCGACGCCCGCAUUCUCCAUUUGGCUUUCUGGGUGUUAAUGAUAUUAAAUGAUAUUUUUACAGACACUGUUUCUUCAUAAGCACAGGGGAAUUAGCUCAAAUGGUAGAGCGCUUGCUUUGCAUGCGAGAGGUAGUGGGAUCGAUGCCCGCAUUCUCCAUUUGGCUUUUUCUUCACGGCUUUCGUGUGGUUGAUGAUAUUUACUUUUUUUGCCACUGUCACUGUUUCUUGCUGAGCACAGGGGAAUUAGCUCAAAUGGUAGAGCGCUUGCUUCGCAUGCGAGAGGUAGUGGGAUCGACGCCCGCAUUCUCCAUUUGGCUUUUUCUUCACGGCUUUCGUGUGGUUGAUGAUAUUUACUUUUUUUGCCACUGUCACUGUUUCUUGCUGAGCACAGGGGAAUUAGCUCAAAUGGUAGAGCGCUUGCUUCGCAUGCGAGAGGUAGUGGGAUCGACGCCCGCAUUCUCCAUUUGGCGUUCUGGGUGUUAAUGAUAUUAAAUGAUAUUUUCACUGAUGCUGUUUCUUCAUAAGCACAGGGGAAUUAGCUCAAAUGGUAGAGCGCUCGCUUAGCAUGCGAGAGGCAGCGGGAUCGAUGCCCGCAUUCUCCAUUUGGCUUUUUAUUCACGGCUUUCGUGUGGUUGAUGAUAUUUACUUUUUUUCCCACUGUCACUGUUGCUUGUUGCGCACAAGGGAAUUAGCUCAAAAGGUAGAGCACUUGCUUUGCGAGCAAGAGGUAGUGGGAUUGAUACCUGCAUUCUCCCUAUGUGAUAUUUUUGAUAUUGAUAUAUGUGAUA